AAACGAACCACUCAUUGGCACUUAAAGUUUAAUAAAUCAAUAGUAGAAACCUAACAAGAAAAGUCUACUAAAUACAACGUCAACCUUACACUAGUACAUUACCGGAAAGAAUAAAAGAAUGGGAAGGAACUCGGCAAACCACUAACCCCGCCUGUUUACCAAAAACAUCGCCUCUUGACACCCAUAAGAGGUCCAGCCUGCCCAGUGACUAAGUUAAACGGCCGCGGUACCCUAACCGUGCAAAGGUAGCGCAAUCACUUGUUCUUUAAAUGAGGACUAGUAUGAACGGCAUCACGAGGGUUAUGCUGUCUCCCCACUCUAUUCAGUGAAACUGAUCUCCCCGUGAAGAAGCGGGGAUAAAAAUAUAAGACGAGAAGACCCCAUGGAGCUUUAUACUCAGUAUCAACUGCUUUAUAAAUCAACCUAAUAUCUAUGCAACCCUGAUUAC
rnacentral:rRNA from 1 species